rnacentral:rRNA from 1 species
AUGCAGUCGAGUGCACAGUUCCCGUAGCAAUACGGGGAUGGGUGCACGGCGCACGGGUGCGUAACACGUGGGCAAUCUGCCCUCCGAUGGGGAAUAACCCCGCGAAAGCGGGGCUAAUUCCGCAUAACAUUCCCUGGACCUCGGUUUGGGGAUUCAAAGCCGUAAGGCGUCGGAGGAGGAGCCCGCGCCCGAUUAGCUAGUUGGUGAGGUAAUGGCUCACCAAGGCAAUGAUCGGUAGCUGGUCUGAGAGGAUGGCCAGCCACACUGGAACUGAGACACGGUCCAGACUCCUACGGGAGGCAGCAGUGGGGAAUCUUGCGCAAUGGGCGAAAGCCUGACGCAGCGACGCCGCGUGGGGGAUGAAGCUUCUCGGAGUGUAAACCCCUUUCGACUGGGACGAAUGCCUCGCAAGAGGAGUGACGGUACCAGUAGAAGAAGCCCCGGCUAACUACGUGCCAGCAGCCGCGGUAAGACGUAGGGGGCCAGCGUUGUUCGGAAUUACUGGGUGUAAAGGGUUCGUAGGCGGUGCGGCAAGUUGGGAGUGAAAUCUCUGGGCUUAACCCAGAGGCUGCUUCCAAAACUGCCGUGCUCGAGUGUGGGAGAGGCGCGUGGAAUUGCAGGUGUAGCGGUGAAAUGCGUAGAUAUCUGCAGGAACACCCGUGGCGAAAGCGGCGCGCUGGACCACAACUGACGCUGAGGAACGAAAGCUAGGGGAGCAAACAGGAUUAGAUACCCUGGUAGUCCUAGCCCUAAACGAUCAGGACUUGGGGUGCCGCCCGUUCGGGCGUCGUCCCGGAGCUAACGCGUUAAGUCCUGCACCUGGGGAGUACGGUCGCAAGACUGAAACUCAAAGGAAUUGACGGGGGCCCGCACAAGCGGUGGAACAUGUGGUUCAAUUCGACGCUACGCGAGGAACCUUACCUGGGCUCGAAAUGCUUAGGACCAGCUGUAGAAAUACGGCCCUUCCCGCAAGGGACCUGAGUAUAGGCGCUGCAUGGCUGUCGUCAGCUCGUGCCGUGAGUGUUGGGUUAAGUCCCGCAACGAGCGCA